rfam:Volvox carteri f. nagariensis unplaced genomic scaffold VOLCAscaffold_102, whole genome shotgun sequence.
GCUCGGUUAGCUCAGUCGGUAGAGCGUACGGCUGUUAACCGUAAGGUCGGCGGUUCAAACCCCUCAUCGAGCG